AUGUACAUGUAUGUAUGUAUAUGUAUGUGAGUAUGUAUGUAUGUAUAUAUAUGUAUAUGUGUGUGUAUGCGCGUGUAUAUAUUGACAGCACGGACUGAUGUGUCGUGAGUUACCAUCACUACAAGCCUGUAUAAUGUAUGAUCUUUGUGUAGUAAUGCAUGAACAUUCCUACUUCAUUGCUACAUUGAAAGAUAUGUUGCUAUAAUGAAAAGCCAAGCAAAUAAACCUAUGAGUAAACAGUUACUACUACUUAUAGCAUCAACUGGUGUAUUCUGACCUACCAAAUUGUACAAACCUGUAUGAUUUAUGUAUAGCAUGAAUGUACCUACUCAUGAGAAUAAACGUAGUGGAAAAAAACUUGUAGAACAGCUUCGUUUAGAAUGUAAUUCCCCAUACAAAUAGUGCAUGUCGAUGUAGAGGCACUUCAAACGAGCGAUCUGAAAGCUGUUACAGACGCUCAAGGCCAGCACACGAUCAGGGUAUUCGAAUAGAGCGGUUUGGAUUUCAACCGAGUUGAUACAUUUCGUAGAGGCUGUUGCAAGGUCGCAAUGGAACGGGAAAGACAACAGUGGACGACGAAAGACGAAUGGUCCGAAAUGGAAGGGAAGAAUGGAGAUUUGGCCAAAGGCAUCAUUCUUAGCGAAGUGCCGAAUCUGGAUGUGGUCAUUGUCCCGGCCGGCAGUAUGGUCACCGCGGACUACAACCUCGACAGAGUAAGAAUCUACAUCAACGACGACGGAAACGUAGUGGGGACACCAAAACGUGGCUAGCCCAAACCUACCCAGUCUUGUCCCUGGAGCUGUCUAAGCUUGAAAACCGUUUAAACCUGUAAACGAAACAGCGAAAAAUAAAGAUUUUUUAAUACGAGUUUAUAGUUUUGACUGGCUCAUACUAUGUUAUUGUUGCGGUAUUGAAUAAAAAUAUGUUCCAAAAACAUGCCGUGUCAAUGUCUUUGGCACCAGCCGUGUCCGAAGCAUGCAGAUUCAAUGAAGACAAGGGGCUAUAAUUCUCAAUCAUGUUAAUAUAUCUAGUGAUGUCAAAAGAAUCCUUGUCGUGUUUUGCCGAAGACUCAGUGUUACAUCAAAUGGAUCAAUCCCAUAACGACAAACUUUAUGGAUGAACAACUUCUUUAUUCGGAUGAUGCGACGUUUCGAUACAGAUUCUUGUAUCGUUGUCAAGCAAGUAUAUCCAUAAACUUUGUCGUUGUCUGAUUCACCAACUUCUCAACAUGCCACUCAAAGAAGAUAUGGAUCAAUCCCAUGUCACCAUAACGCGUCUUUGACACUUACGCUUUGCGUUCGGGUUGAAUGACGCGCCGAUCCACCAACGAAAGCAUACAAGUGCAACAUAUUUAUGCAUUUAUAACAGACACCUACGUUUAAACUCCAACAAAACAUUGUCAGAUACUGCCAGCAAAUAGUGACAAGUGUUCCUUCAGAAAAUGAGCUGCAAUAACCCUACUCGAGUUUAUCUGUACGCAAAUUACAAAUGCAUCAGUGAAUCCUUAUACAACACACUGCAAAGCACGGUGUCUCUGUAAGGCGGCACUCUGACUGACGAAUAACUGUUUGCCAAAAGGAGACAUGUCCUUAACUGUAUGUGGGACAUACCUUUGGGUCUUUUGUUAAAGUAUUCAAAAGGUAAAUGCAGGUGUGGUUUAAAACGUUGUUGUUAGGGAUUCUAAAACAUUGUGUACGAUGAUACAUGUUUGGUUUGAUAGUGAGCGUUACUAUAACAUGGUGUACGGCUAGGUGGUUUGGGAGGCGUCGUGGUCGACUGUCAUGGAGCAGAACAAGAUGACGCCGGAGACGUGGACGAAACAGGCAUGGCCGGAACUGCUUUUACAGGAUGGAGAACAUGCCAAGGAUGUCAUAUUGGAAGAAAAUCCAAAUCUGGAGGUAUACUUGGUGCCAGUGGAUUACAUCGUCACCUCGGAGGUCAACAAGGAAAGGGUGAGGAUACGGGUUGAUGAAGAUGGAAUGGUCACCAAGACGCCUGUUCGAGGAUGAACCAUAUCUCACUGAAAACUGUGAUCCAAAUGUGUGUUUCUACCCUGGAUCCGGAGUCGGGUGGGGUUUGAGGAGAUUAUGUGGCUUCGGGGAUUAUACAAGCCCUUCCACCAACCCUCCAUUGAAUUCUUCACGUCCUUCUGUUACCACACGUUUGCAUGGCUAGACCAUGUCUCACAGAAACUGUUCCAAGUGUAUGUUAAUUAAACGUAGUUGCCAAUUUCAAACCUUGAUUAUACCAAAACGAGGUUCACACAAUAACACAUUUUUCCACCCUCAAGUCCUUGGGCAAGUUGGUCAUAAACAAAAUAGGGAAUCGUGACGUACUUAGGUCAGGUGUUACUUAAGGAACUCCAGCCUUUAGAUGUUGCUCGAUGACUUCCUUCAAACCGGUAUGGCGGUGUAUGCGUAACCCACAAUGGGUUAAAGCAUGUUGUUAAAGGAGAAUAAAUGUACUUGAGAUGCUGCCUUACGUGGCCGGAUGCCAUGUCCUGUCUAACUCUUGUACGGGUUAAGCGCAAAGCAAGCUCUAAUCUUUACCAAUACUAAAGAGAUAGAAUAUGAGUUUAGUACCUUUAUUAGAACUACCAAUUGCCUGGAGUCGUGUAUUCAUCGAUAUCAUUACAAUUCACCAUGGCAAUACUGGCUCGGUGUAUAUUUCAAUAUUUCGUCCAAGAAGACAAAGACGUCGAAUGGUAGGCAAGUUUUAAUUCAGUAAUUGUGUAUAAAUCUGGAAUAAAAUCCGUUGACCA